CAGGUUCUGUCUUCUUUGGUCCAGCCACAGCGAUUGUCGCAAAGUACUGGAUGACACGUUUGGUGUUGACGGUCUUUCCUGCGCCGGAUUCUCCGCUGUAGUGUGAAAACGUAAAUUGCCCGAAAAGAAAUGGACCGAGCUGGAAUCGGUUCAGCACAGAGAUCAUGCCAUGCGUCUGCUGGACGAGCUUGACAUCAUCGGCAGAGAGCGACAUUUAAAAGUCGCCAGAGCUCUUCUGUAUAUGGCACAAGGGACGUUUGGUGAGUGUAGAGAUGGAGGUCCAGCACUGGAUGAGAUAUAACAUCUUUCUACUGUUGGAUGUUGGAGCUUUUACUGCUCUGGAAAUAAAGAAACCUGCGAUCUCUCUGGCCGACAGCACUGACCUCAGGAUCGCAGGUUCUACUCUUUAAAACCAUGAGCCCAUCUCAGUCAUGCUUUUUGGGAUGGUGACCAAGUUCUGCAGCGGUCAUGCCCCUCAUUUCCCAAUGAAGAAAGUUCUGCUGCUGCUUGGAAGACCAUCCUGGUAGCAGUUUGUUUACAGUACCAGCAGGCGCUCACCUUCCCAAUCUCACAGCUCUUGAUUCUCAUCUUAUUGACCUGAGACUCAGAAAUGUCAGCACGUUCCUGAACCUCCUCCAGCUCAUUCUGCACCUUCCUGUAUCUAGACAGGUUCUGUCUUCUUUGGUCCAGCCACAGCGAUUGUCGCAAAGUACUGGAUGACACGUUUGGUGUUGACCGUCUUUCCUGCGCCGGAUUCUCCGCUGGAGUGGGAAACGGAAAUCUCUUUCUUCUGGAUGUCUGUGGUGUUAGGUUUACAAUCGGUCACAUUGUUUCCUGAUGAUAAAUCUCGACUGCGGAUCUGCCAGAAAAUGUACUGAUACAGUUCAAGUCAGUAGACAACAUAUCACUCCACAGUUGUUACUUUAACCAAAUUCAGUACAUAUAUAACCUGAUCAGUCUACACAUGGAGCUCAAAUCCACAAAUAUAAGCUUUAAACUUGAUUGGAUGAUUCAUCUCAUAAGAUUCUUAUCUCUGUCGUUUGCUCAAAUUCAAUAUGUUUUCAUCAGUACAACGUAUUCUUUUACUUUAACUGACUGAAUGUAUUUAUCAUUAAUGUGAUGUAUAUGAUCACUAACUUACAAAAUAUAACUUUAAAAUGUUAAACACUUUAUAUUAAAUAUUCUAUUCUGCUAGUUAAAUACUUAUUCUAGCAAGUAGCAGUGUAGCGUGACCAGACGCUACAUUACGUUGUGCCUCCAGCAGCGCACUGAGCGCAGCAGCGUCUUCUUCUUUUCUUACUAACUUGGAUCACAAACUCAAAUUGUUCAGAACUGCCAUCUAUGGUUCUGUCACACAUCUUUGCGGAGAUUGUCUGAUGAUUACGUACAGAAUAUGCAGGAGUAAAGUCACCACACAGACUCAUACUAUAAUGUUUGUGAUAGAGAGAGGCAUCAACGCAGAAUCUGAAGAUGUAGAGAUGAAUUACCCAUGGCCGUAUUUGUUCAAGUUCAUGUCUCUUAAAGAACCAAACGGUAAAGCUGCUUACAUGUUGGUAUGUAAUCUUGGCAAACCAAAUGUUUAUCUGUCUGCGUCGAAAAAACGUCAAGCACAUACGAGUAAAGCCAUUUCAAAUUAAUCAUCCCAUUGUUUUCUUCUAUUUUAUGUGUCUAUUGUGAAUUCAAAAUGUUGAGUUCAUAGCUCAUGAUGUGAAGUCACGGUGCACUCACAGUGAGCUCAUACUAUGGUUACAAUGUGAGGUCACGGCACACUCACAGUCAGCUCAUACUAUGGUCAUAAUUUUAGGGGAACGGCACACUCAUUCUGUUAUAGCAGGACAGCACACAUGUUUGGAAAAUAUUGGCCCAAGAGUAGAACUUCACUCUUCUUACCUAUAAUUUCUAAGAAAUUUUAUAGCAAUGAUCAUAGGAUCAAAUUUAGGACACUUUCUACACAGCAUUUUAUACAGCCAUAUACAUGGUGUGUAAUGUCAACAACAAGGUUAUGGCAUUAAGAAGCCUAAAUAAAGGUUUAAGAAAGCUCAAACAGAUUGAAGGUAAAUUGAGCGGGGUUCACAGAUUUGUUUUGUCCAAGCAUUGUGGCCUAGUGUUGGAGAAUUAGACUUGUGUUUAACCCAGAGGUUUUUAGUUUAAUGCCCACAGCUGGCAGGAAAGUUAGUUAGUUGCAGUGCGUUUGUGCGUGUUCUCUCUCACUUUUCUUUUAUUGGCCAGAUAUCAUUUGCAAUUAAAUGCUGACGUUUUGGUGACAUGUUUUCAAUUAGCAAACCUAUAUUAGCUUUCUGAGUGACGUCUGGAACUUUGUAUAUCAUUAGCUUUAUUGGUAGUAUGAGCUCACAGUGAGUGUGCAGUGACCUCAUACUGUGACCUCAAUAUACGAGCACACGGUGAGUGCUCAGAGUGGCUACACUUUUAGAUCACUGUGAACCACACAUUGUGACAACAUUAUGAGGAUCUUGUGAGCUCAUGGUGACUUUUUGUUGACUGGGAAUUACUUCUGCCUGUGGCCUGCAAAGGUCAUUCUGUUCCUAAACUUAGACUUCUUGCAGUGAAAUUGGUAAUCAAUAUAUAUGCUCUGAACUGGAUGUUCAUGUGGGGAGAUUUUCCAAGAUGACCUAUAGCUCAACCAAUCAGAAUCUUGAAGUAAUGAUGGAGUUUACUGAUAGCUGUAAAUAAACUAUACAGUUAAUGGUGGAUAAUGCGGGCAAUCAUUAUUUGGUGACAUUCCUAAUUAACCAGAAAAUAAGGUAGGAAAUUUUAUUUUAUUUUGGUUAGGCUGUCAGGUGGAAAAGUUUGGGAGUAGGGGAAAUGAUUGGGUUACUUCACUCAGUAACCCACUGACUCCCAUAGUAGGAAAAAAUAAUAAAUGGUUUGGUAACAAACAUUCCUUAAAAUGUCUUCCUUCGUGUUCAUCAGAACAAAGAAUUGUUUGUAACAACAUGAGAGUAAGUAAUGAAAGAAUUUUCAUUUUCGGGUGAACUACUGAAAGUGAUCUUGCGUGUUUAAUGUUUUGUAAUUUAUAUAUCUUAAAUUGGUUAUGUGAUUUGCAUUAAACUUUUACCUGGCAAAUUAAUUAUGUUUGGAUUUAUUCUAAUCCACUUUGAAUUAUUAUUAUUAUUGGCUACUUGUAGAUUUUGAUGAACCAUUGGGCCAAUAGGUGAAUUGCCUUACACUUAAAAUUCAGUCACUUUUCAGCCAUGUAUGUAAAAAGAAAGCUGCCGGCCCGGAUGGAAUCUCUGCUUUUCUCUUUAAAACCUUUGCUGCAGAGCUAACCCCUGCAUGGUGCCCUGUGUUUCAGAGGUCCGUUGAUUCCCACAUGGUCCCUGCCCUCUGGAAAAAAUCGACCAUUAUUCCCAUUCCAAAGAAACCCUGUCCUAAAGAAAAUAAUGAUUAUAGACCGGUGGUUUUAACUUCUUUUGUCAUGAAAUGUCUGGAAAAAUACAUGGUAUCCAUAUUGAAAUCUGAAGUUAACACUCUACUAGAUCCACUCCAGUUUGCUUAUAGGCAGGGGAGGAGUACAGAUGAUGCAAUUAAUAGCAUCACUCACCUAACUCUUAAGCACCUGGAGGAUCCCAAGGCCUAUGCACGCCUUUUGUUUAUUGAUUUUAGUUCUGCUUUUAAUACCUUCCAGCCUCACCUGCUCUUACAGAAAAUGAAUAUGAUGAAUGUUAAUUCUCGGACGACACCGCCAUUCUUAGUCUGCUUCACCAGAACUCUGAAACAUCACUGUAUUUUUCAGAGGUUAAACAAUUUGUCACGUGGUGUGACAAGAACUAUCUCACCAUCAACAUAAAAAAACUGAGAAGAUGGUGUUUGACCCUCGGUUGGUGGGGGAUCAUACCCCCUUGUCCAUUCAUAGGGAGGAGAUCAAACAGGUCACUUCAUACAGGUAUCUGGUUCCCGUUUACAGCAAAGACUGUAUUUCUUACGCAGACUAAGAGUGUUUGGUGUCAGUCAAAGCAUUAUGUUUUUAUUUUAUCAGGCAGUGAUGGAGAGUAUUAUCAGGUAUGGGAUGCCGGCGUGGUUUGGCAAUCUCUCCACACAAUCCAAGUCAAAAUUGCAGCGCCUGGUACAGACUGCUAUGAGGGUGAUGGGGAGGACUGAAAAGCUCUCCCUUCAGUCCAUCUAUGAGCAGUCUGUACUUAGGCAGGCACGGAGAGUAUUGUUGGACCCGUCCCACAUCCUUCAAACGGAAUAUGAGCUCUUGCCUUCGGGCAGAAGAUACAGAAUCCCUAAAAUUAAAUUGAACCGUUUUAAAUACUCCUUUGUACCAGUCUCCAUCAAAAUUUUAACCAAAACUUUUAGUAGAUUUGUAAUAGAUAGGCUUGAAAAGUGUGCAAUAACUCUGUUCUGUGCAAUAACUAGGUGUUCUGUAUAGUUGUUAUUUGUAUCUAUUUAUUUAUUUAUUUAUUUAUUUUAUUUUAUUUGUGUAUUUAUUGUUCACAAUGGCAGCUGCUUCUUUGCACUACGCACUUUGGAGUCCAUGACAAAUUUCCCUGAGGGGACAAUAAAGUAUAUUCUAUUCUAUUCACUUUAUGUAAAAAUUGAUGUGAAAUGAUUUAUCUAUUUCUGCAGUCUUUCAUAUCACUUUAUUUUGUACAGAUGUUACAGCUCUAUUAAGAUCUAAUUUUGUAUCAUUGUGUCUUUCACUUCUGAAAAAUGUUUAUAAAAGAAUUGGUAAGAUGAAGACAUUCUAAUUUUUC